CCUGCGGAAGGAUCAUUACUGAACUUAAGUAA
rnacentral:rRNA from 1 species